rnacentral:misc_RNA from 1 species
AACGCACAUUGCGCCCGCCGGCAUUCCGGCGGGCAUGCCUGUUCGAGCGUCAUUUCGACCCUCAAGCCCUGGCGGCUUGGUGUUGGGGCGCCCGCGCCAGCGCGCGGGGCCCCCAAGUUCAUCGGCGGGCUCGUCGGACACUGAGCGCAGUAGUUUAUUCUUCGCUCGGCCUGUCCCGGCGCUGCUUCCCGGCCGCAAAACACCCAAAUUACCACAAGGUUGACCUCGGAUCAGGUAGGAAUACCCGCUGAACUUAA